rnacentral:Y_RNA from 1 species
GGCUGGUCCAACAGUAGUGGGUUAUCAGAACUUACUAACAUUAGUGUCACUAAAGUUGGUAUACAACCCCCCACUGCUAAAUUUGACUGGCUUUAA